rnacentral:rRNA from 1 species
CCUACGGGGCUGCAGUGGGGAAUAUUGGACAAUGGGCGAAAGCCUGAUCCAGCCAUGCCGCGUGUGUGAAGAAGGCCUUCGGGUUGUAAAGCACUUUCAGUGGGGAAGAAAGCCUUGGGGCUAAUACCCUCGAGGAAGGACAUCACCCACAGAAGAAGCACCGGCUAACUCCGUGCCAGCAGCCGCGGUAAUACGGAGGGUGCGAGCGUUAAUCGGAAUUACUGGGCGUAAAGCGCGCGUAGGCGGUCUGAUAAGCCGGUUGUGAAAGCCCCGGGCUCAACCUGGGAACGGCAUCCGGAACUGUCAGGCUAGAGUGCAGGAGAGGAAGGUAGAAUUCCCGGUGUAGCGGUGAAAUGCGUAGAGAUCGGGAGGAAUACCAGUGGCGAAGGCGGCCUUCUGGACUGACACUGACGCUGAGGUGCGAAAGCGUGGGUAGCAAACAGGAUUAGAUACCCGGGUAGUC